GUAACGAAUAUUGCACAAUGAGCGAAAGCUUGAUGCAGCGACGCCGCGUGUGGGAGGAAGCCCCUCGGGGUGUAAACCACUGUCGGGGACAACCAAGCGGAGAGGGUUAACAGCCCUCCGAGUUGAGGCGUCCCUAAGGAAGUCACGGCUAACUUCGUGCCAGCAGCCGCGGUAAUACGAAGGUGGCGAGCGUUGUUCGGAAUCACUGGGCUUAAAGAGCACGUAGGCGGGCUGUCAAGCGUCUUGUGAAAGCCCUCGGCUCAACCGAGGAAUUGCUGGGCGAACUGGCAGUCUUGAGGCAGGUAGGGGUACACGGAACUCUUGGUGGAGCGGUGGAAUGCGUAGAUAUCAAGAGGAACGCCAGCGGCGAAGGCGGUGUACUGGGCCUGUCCUGACGCUGAGGUGCGAAAGCCAGGGGAGCAAACGGGAUUAGAAACCCUAGUAGUCC
rnacentral:rRNA from 1 species